rnacentral:piRNA from 1 species
UGACAUCUCGACUAUAUGAAGAAUGA